UACAGAGGUCUCAAGCGUUGUUCGGAUUCAUUGGGCGUAAAGGGUGCGUAGGUGGCGUGGUAAGUCGGGUGUGAAAUUUCGGAGCUUAACUCCGAAACUGCAUUCGAUACUGCGGUGCUUGAGGACUGGAGAGGAGACUGGAAUUCAUGGUGUAGCAGUGAAAUGCGUAGAGAUCAUGAGGAAGACCAGUGGCGAAGGCGGGUCUCUGGACAGUUCCUGACACUGAGACACGAAGGCCAGGGGAGCAAACGUG
rnacentral:rRNA from 1 species